rnacentral:rRNA from 1 species
GACGAACGCUGGCGGCGUGCUUAACACAUGCAAGUCGAACGGUGAAGCGCCUUCCUUUUUGGUGGGUGUGGAUGAGUGGCGAACGGGUGAGUAACACGUGAGUAACCUGCCCCCUUCUUCUGGAUAACCGCAUGAAAGUGUGGCUAAUACGGGAUAUUCUGGGUCUGUCGCAUGAUGGGUCUGGGAAAGAUAUUGUUUCGGUGGGGGAUGGGCUCGCGGCCUAUCAGCUUGUUGGUGGGGAUGGCCUACCAAGGCGGUGACGGGUAGCCGGCCUGAGAGGGUGGACGGUCACACUGGGACUGAGACACGGCCCAGACUCCUACGGGAGGCAGCAGUGGGGAAUAUUGCACAAUGGGCGCAAGCCUGAUGCAGCGACGCCGCGUGAGGGAUGGAGGCCUUCGGGUUGUGAACCUCUUUCGCCAGUGAAGCAGGCCUGCCUCGUUUGUGGGUGGGUUGACGGUAGCUGGAUAAGAAGCGCCGGCUAACUACGUG